rnacentral:rRNA from 1 species
GACGAACGCUGGCGGCGUGCUUAACACAUGCAAUUCGAACGAAGAGCGAUGGAAGCUUGCUUCUAUCAAUCUUAGUUGCGAACGGGUGAGUAACUCGUAAUCAACCUGCCCUUCCGAGGGGGACAACAGUUGGAAACGACUGCUAAUACCGCAUACGAUCUACUCUCGGCAUCGAGGAUAGAUGAAAGGUGGCCUCUACAUGUAAGCUAUCACUGAAGGAGGGGAUUGCGUCUGAUUAGCUCGUUGGAGGGGUAACGGCCCACCAAGGCGAUGAUCAGUAUCCGGUCUGAGAAGAUGAACGGCCACAAUGGGAAUGAGACACGGCCCAGAAUCCUACGGGGAGCAGCAGUGGGGAAACUUUCGCAAUGGACGAAAGGCUGAAGGAGCAACGCCGCGUGAGUGAUGACGGCCUUCGGGUUGGAAAGCUCUGUUAAUCGGGACGAAAGGCCUUCUUGCGAAUAGUGAGAAGGAUUGACGGUACCGGAAUAGAAAGCCACGGCUAACUACGUG